rnacentral:rRNA from 1 species
UACGUAGGGGGCAAGCGUUGUCCGGAAUCAUUGGGCGUAAAGAGCGUGUAGGUGGCUCGGUAAGUCCGCUGUAAAAGUCCAGGGCUCAACCCUGGAAAGCCGGUGGAAACUGUCGAGCUAGAGUCCGGAAGAGGCGAGUGGAAUUCCUGGUGUAGCGGUGAAAUGCGUAGAUAUCAGGAGGAACACCGGUGGUGUAGACGGCUUUCUGGACCGUAACUGACGCUGAGACACGAAAGCGUGGGUAGCAAACAGG